CAAGCAAAUCCCAUAAAGUUGUUCUCAGUUCGGAUUGUAGUCUGCAACUCGACUACAUGAAGCUGGAAUCGCUAGUAAUCGUAGAUCAGCAUGCUACGGUGAAUACGUUCCCGGGUCUUGUACACACCGCCCGUCACACCACGAGAGUUUGUAACACCCGAAGCCGGUGGAGUAACCAUUUGGAGCUAGCCGUCGAAGGUGGGACAAAUGAUUGGGGUGAAGUCGUAACAAGGUAGCCGUAUCGGAAGGUGCGGCUGGAUCACCUCCUUUCUAAGGA
rnacentral:rRNA from 1 species